CAGCCGCCGCGGUAAUACGAAGGGUGCAAGCGUUAAUCGGAAUUACUGGGCGUAAAGGGUGCGUAGGCGGUUGUUUAAGUCUGUUGUGAAAUCCCCGGGCUCAACCUGGGAAUGGCAAUGGAAACUGGACGGCUAGAGUGUGUCAGAGGAUGGUGGAAUUCCCGGUGUAGCGGUGAAAUGCGUAGAGAUCGGAAGGAACAUUUGUGGCGAAGGCGACUAUCUGGGCCAACACUGACACUGAGGCACGAGAGCGUGGGGAGCAAACAGGAUUAGAUACCCCUGUAGUCCCUGUCUCUUAUAC
rnacentral:rRNA from 1 species